GAAGAAAUAUAGACGCAUAAAAACCAAGUGAGAGGAAGGUUUACCUGUGCGGCUACACCAAAGAUCAAUUUGGAGUUCUUUUAGUGGUAAUCUUCUUUGUUAAUAGUUAACAUGUAUAAUCGUGGAUUAAUUAUUGUUAGUGGGUCUUUAUGAAUCGAAUAAUGCAGAGUUGAGGAACGUGCUGAUCGGGCAGUUGACAAUUUGUUAUAUGAAAAUGGUACGUAUCAAUUUGUUGUGGGUUUGUUCGGGUCAAGGCAGUAACAUAAUUGGGGGAUAAUUCUGGCAUCUUGAUGGGCCAGGUGCCAGGUAAAGGUGAUAGAAAAGUUGGGUUUCUGUAUGUUGGACCUUGGCUUGCAUAUAUUGCAGUGAAGUACUUUUAAAUCUUCACAAUAUACAUUAUAAUCAUAAUUUCUUCCCUUUGUUAUGUUGUU
rnacentral:misc_RNA from 1 species